AGAAAUGUCUCCCAGACCACACAAAUACAAAAGUCAGGACAUUUUUGAUUUCCUAACACGUCUGUUAAAGCAAGCACACAUGACGUAGACUGCCAAGGCACUGAGGUCAGGAGUGAAGGAUGCGUACACGAGCUUUAAGAUUAGAGGAGGGCAGGCACACGGAUGGCAAAGCAGGUAAAGGAGCUUGCUACCAAGCAUAAUGACUUCAGCUCAGUCCCCUAGGCCCACUUGUUAGAAAGAGAGAACUGAUUGCCACAAGUUCACCUCUGACCUCCACAAGCAUGCUGUGGCGUGUACACAUACACAUAUAAUAAAUAAUAAAUGACAAGUAUAGAAGUAAAUGGAAUUUUAAAUGCUUUCAAAGGGGCUAAGAGGAGUGCACCUUCAGACAGACUUGCCAAGUGCUCAGCAAAGAAGGCUCUGGACACAAUGGACAGGGUAAAGCAGAUGGCACAUGCCAAGGAACAAGGAAGGGAAUGCUCUGAGAUGCAGUUAGCAUAACCCAUUCCAAGAACCGACUUAGAUUCACCUGGGAAGCCAGAGGCAGUCACAUGUGCGACACUGGGGCCAAGUUUCAGCUAAAAUGGUCCCUCAGGAGGUGAAGAUCACUAGAGGGGAAAAAAUGGAGACGUGUUACAAGUCCCAGAAGAUGACCUCAAUGACAGCUAGGAGCAGGAAGGCGGUGGGGUAGGGGGCUGAGUUUUUAGUGUUGAAGUCCCUGGAGUCCCCCUGUGUCUCUAACCAGGCUGAUGCUAGGGUGGCUGGCGGCUGCUUUCCAAGCCUCUGCCUGCUGUGUGGAGUGCCUAUCCUCCGCAGAUGGACGCUGCCCAUCCCACCUCCCUACCUCACCCCCAUGACUCUGUCUGCUUCUUUUUUCUCCUUCUACAACCCUUGUUCACUAAGGAACAGUUGUUUCUCUCUGACAUGGCCCUACAUCUACUUUUGUCAAGUCCUCCACGUCUCAGGUAAUUCCUAAGGCAGAGGAGCCAAGAAAGGUUAGAAUGUAAUCAAUCGUUGAGAACUAGUGGAUCUAGUGUGGAGCCCAGUCCUUUGACCACCACCAACCAAAUGAACAAUUCUUUAGCCCUUGGAGCUGGACCUACCUGAAGGCAGGAGGGAGUAGACGGGCGACCUUCCUACCGCAGACCUCCUGCUGGCCAAAUGCUUUCAGUGCUGAGCCACUGCGGCCUUGUUAUUCCCCUUGCAAUCUCACUAGGCCAUUCUCCAACUUGAGCGAGCACAGCCACUGUUCCCUAGACGUGUGUGGACAUAAUCCUGCAUGUCCUUUAUGGAUGACUUGAGGGGACUGUGAGGGAUAAUGUAGAGUCUAAUAUGUUUCCCCUUAGGGCUGACCUACAUAAACUGAAUACAUUUAGGGCUCUGCUCCACAUGUUUUAAGAUUAAAGGGUAUCCAGCCUGAGACAGCCUUAGCAGCCCAGGCUGCUCGCCGGUCCUUAUAAUCGCUGCCUUUUGUACAGCUUGUUUACACGGGGGCAGGAGAUGAUGGUGGCUGUAGUUGAUAACUAAGGAAUAGUAAGUUAAUUCGCUUUUUUUAAAUAAUGAAAAUAUACUCUUUAUAUUUUAAACAUUGAAAUUUUCUUUAUUUUUACUAGAGUUGAAAAGUGAAAUAGAGCUAAAAUAAAAUCUAAUGAGAACAAACUUACAAAAUUAUAUUCUUUUUCUCACCUUCCCAAGACAAGUACAGAGGACAGUCCCCCAGUUUUAAUUACCUGCCAAUAGCCUGUAUACAAUACCAGUUGCCGUCCAUGGUGGUCCAUACCGAUGAUCCUGGUAGUUAUAAGGCUAAGAGGAGGGAUCACAAACUUGAAGGCAGCCCGGACUACGUAUUGACUGUAUUAUAAAACACAAAGUAUUUAUGAAACACAAAAGUCUCAGUCACAGCUGUAGCUCAGUUGGCAGUCUGUACUCAACAUAUGCCUGAUCCUGUGUUUCCUGGCACCAGAAAAGCCACUUCCUUUGUUAUGCUGUUGUCACUUACAAUUU
rnacentral:lncRNA from 1 species